AUACGGAGGAUCCGAGCGUUAUCCGGAUUUCUUGGGUUUAAAGGGAGCGUAGGUGGAUUGUUAAGUCAGCUGUGAAAGUUUGCGGCUCAACCGUAAGAUUGCAGUUGAAACUGGCAGUCUUGAGUCCAGUAGAGGUGGGCGGAAUUCGUGGGGUAGCGGUGGAAUGCUUAGAUAUCACGAAGAACUACGAUUGCGAAGGCAGCUCACUAGACUGUUACUGACACUGAUGCUCGAAAGUGUGGGUAUCAAACAGGAUUAGAUACCCUGGUAGUCCACACAGUAAACGAUGAAUACUAGCUGUUUGCGAUAUACAGUAAGCGGCCAAGCGAAAGCAUUAAGUAUUCCACCUGGGGAGUACGCCGGCAACGGUGAAACUCAAAUGAAUUGACGGGG
rnacentral:rRNA from 1 species